UUACCCCUCUUCUCCCACACUUAUCAGACUCUCUCCUUCCUCAUUCCCUCUUCGCUCUUUUUCCUUCACUCUGUAGCUUAAUCCUUCGUCUGAGCCGAUCCUACAAGAACUGAACUUAUCAGCCUUCAUUUCAUCCCUCGUAAGAGCCGAUCUUCCGGGGAGGGUUUUGUCCUGAUUGAUGGCAACAGUGAGUUCAUCGAAAGAAUACCUCGGAUCAUCAAAUGACAGUCUUCCGAACCCGUAAUCGGCAAUUUUUGACUGGGUUUCUCUGUAUUGUGUACCUAAGGGCUUCUCGACUGGUAAUCUCGCGGACCCACAUCCAAUUCUACUCUUUUUAAGCUUUUGUUUCUGCCUCCAUUUUUGUAAUUUCUUGCUGAAAACUGAAGCGGCUGACUAGAAACUCCCAAUAAUCUCUUCGAAAUCUUGGCCGAACGUUUUCUUCGUUUGUGAAUCAAGAUCUAUAUUGUCCUUCAUGGGCUUUAGCUCCUCUUCUUGACACAGUUUCUCUUCGUAUUCUUCCACAACAGCUCGUCGAUUGCGAUCAUGAGGAGGAGAGUGGAACAAGAUAAUAAUAUAAGGUGAGGAAGAAGGGACUGCAGAGCAAAUACUUGAAGGUGAAGGACUUGGGGAAGAUAAUGAGGAAAAACGAAGAAGAAGAAGAAGUGGACAACGAUGAUGAGGAAAAA